rnacentral:lncRNA from 1 species
GUCCUCUACGUUCAUCCUCUACAUCAUCAGAAGGCUCAGAAAUGAGUUUUGGCUCAAGAUGUUGAUUAUUAAGUUCUUCAUCUACUUCAAAAAUAAAUCUCUCAUCUGAAUCCACGCUCAUCAAAUAGUUAUAUAAAAUAAAACAUGCUAUAAAGAUUUGCUUAUGUGUUGCAAUACAAAAAAAAGGUUCAUCAGCACUUGCUAUGAUAGGAAAUUACUUCUUAAGUAUGCCAAAUAUCCUUUCAAUUAUAUUGCAUAGUGAUGCAUGUCGAAGGUUAAAUAACUCCUGUAUGUUUAUCGAUAGAUUUCUCGAAU